rnacentral:rRNA from 1 species
CCUACGGGAGGCUGCAGUGGGGAAUAUUGCACAAUGGGGGAAACCCUGAUGCAGCGACGCCGCGUGAGUGAAGAAGUAUUUCGGUAUGUAAAGCUCUGUCAGCAGGGAAGAAAAUGACGGUACCUGAUCAAGAAGACCCGGCUAACUACGUGCCAGCAGCCGCGGAAAAACGUAGGGGGCAAGCGUUAUUCGGCUUUACUGGGGGUAAAGGGAGCGUAGACGGCAGGGCAAGUCUGGAGUGAAAGGCGGGGGCUCAACCCCCGGGCUGCUCUGGAAACUGGCAGGCUGGAGUGCAGUAGAGGUAAGUGGAAUUCCUAGUGUAGCGGUGGAAUGCGUAGAUAUUAGGAGGAACACCAGUGGCGAAGGCGGCUUACUGGACUGUAACUGACGUUGAGGCUCGAAAGCGUGGGGAGCAAACAGGAUUAGAUACCCUAGUAGUC